rnacentral:rRNA from 1 species
GAUGAACGCUAGCGACAGGCCUAACACAUGCAAGUCGAGGGGCAGCACGGGUAGCAAUACUUGGUGGCGACCGGCGCACGGGUGAGUAACGCGUAUGUAACCUGCCUGAAACAGGGGGAUAGCUCCCGGAAACGGGGAUUAAGACCGCAUAAGACUACGGCAUCGCAUGGUGCAGUGGUCAAAUAUUUAUAGGUUUCAGAUGGGCAUGCGUGACAUUAGCUAGUUGGUAAGGUAACGGCUUACCAAGGCAACGAUGUCUAGGGGUUCUGAGAGGAAGGUCCCCCACACUGGUACUGAGACACGGACCAGACUCCUACGGGAGGCAG